rnacentral:rRNA from 1 species
UGCAAGUCGUGGGGCAGCAGGUUUGUAGCAAUACAGAUGCUGGCGACCGGCAAACGGGUGCGUAACACGUACGCAACUUACCCAUUACUGGGGAAUAGCCCAGGGAAACUUGGAUUAAUACCCCAUAUUAUAUAGAGUUGGCAUCAACUUUAUAUCAAAGCUUCGGCGGUAAUGGAUGGGCGUGCGGUUGAUUAGAUAGUUGGCGGGGUAACGGCCCACCAAGUCUACGAUCAAUAGCUGAUGUGAGAGCAUGAUCAGCCACACGGGCACUGAGACACGGGCCCGACUCCUACGGGAGGCAGCAGUAAGGAAUAUUGGGCAAUGGACGAAAGUCUGACCCAGCCAUGCCGCGUGAAGGAUGAAGGUCCUCUGGAUUGUAAACUUCUUUUAUCUGGGGCGAAAAUCACCCUUUCUAGGGUGCUUGACAGUACCAGAAGAAUAAGCACCGGCUAACUCCGUGCCAGCAGCCGCGGUAAUACGGAGGGUGCAAGCGUUAUCCGGAUUUACUGGGUAUAAAGGGUGCGUAGGCGGGCAGGUAAGUCAGUGGUGAAAUCCCCGAGCUUAACUCGGGAACUGCCGUUGAUACUAUCUGUCUUGAAUAUCGUGGAGGUAAGCGGAAUAUGUCAUGUAGCGGUGAAAUGCUUAGAUAUGACAUAGAACACCAAUUGCGAAGGCAGCUUGCUACACGGUCAUUGACGCU